AUUUAUGGUGAUUUUCCAAAAUCACAUUACUGCUGUUGUCCCAAGCAGAUUUAUUACAAAUUUACUCUUUCACACAUUCUUUGCAUUCACAUUAUUUAAACAACAAUCAAUUUCAUCACAUAUCUAUAAUUUCACUCAAGCAUAAUCUCAAUACAAUACAUCAUGCUCAAUGAUUCGCACACAACCAUUCAAAUUAGCAAUUAUAAGAUGAUUCCGCACAUAGUCCACCCUUAUCGAUAAUUUACGAUGGUUUUACCCUUACUCACAUAUAUGACAUAGGCAUUUUCACCUAUGCUUCUUAUUUCACAUUCAUGAUUCAAUUCCAAUCGAUCUAACAUGCAUAAGAAUAUAUCACAUACCUGGCCAACUUAAUGCAUUGAACAAAUUCAAUUGCCGAUUUAACACAAGGUCUCAUAGUCUUAGACUUUUAUCAAAUCACCGGCAUUUAGCC
rnacentral:lncRNA from 1 species